CGCGGCCUAUCAGCUUGUUGGCGGUGUAACGGACCACCAAGGCUUCGACGGGUAGCUGGUCUGAGAGGAUGGCCAGCCACAUUGGGACUGAGAGACGGCCCAGACUCCUACGGGAGGCAGCAGUGGGGAAUCUUGCGCAAUGGCCGAAAGGCUGACGCAGCGACGCCGCGUGUGGGAUGAAGCAUUUCGGAGUGUAAACCACUGUUGCCCGGGACGAAUAGCUCGAUUAAUCGAGCCUGACAGUACCGGGUGAGGAAGCACCGGCUAACUCCGUGCCAGCAGCCGCGGUAAUACGGGGGGUGCGAGCGUUGUCCGGAAUCACUGGGCGUAAAGGGCGCGUAGGUGGUUUGAUAAGGGUGUGGUGAAAGUCCGGGGCUCAACCCCGGAUCUGCCGUGCCGACUGUCAAACUCGAGGACUGUAGAGGCAGACGGAAUUCCGGGUGUAGCGGUGGAAUGCGUAGAGAUCCGGAGGAAGACCGGUGGCGAAGGCGGUCUGCUGGGCAGUUUCUGACACUGAGGCGCGACAGCGUGGGGAGCAAACAGGAUUAGAUACCCUGGUAGUCCACGCCGUAAACGAUGGGUACUAGGUGCCUGGGGGAGUGACCCUCUGGGUGCCGGCGCUAACGCAGGAAGUACCCCGCCUGGGGAGUACGG
rnacentral:rRNA from 1 species